GGGCCCGCACAAGCGGUGGAGUAUGUGGUUUAAUUCGAUGCAACGCGAAGAACCUUACCAGGGUUUGACAUCCUGCGAAUCUCUUGGAAACAGGAGAGUGCCUUCGGGAACGCAGUGACAGGUGGCGCAUGGCUGUCGUCAGCUCGUGUCGUGAGAUGUUGGGUUAAGUCCCGCAACGAGCGCAACCCACGUCUUUAGUUGCCAUCGAGUAAUGUCGGGGACUCUAAGAAAACUGCCCGCGCAAGCGUGGAGGAAGGUGGGGAUGACGUCAAAUCAUCACGGCCCUUACGUCCAGGGCUACACACGUGCUACAAUGCUACGGACAAAGGGCAGCAAGUUCGCGAGGACAAGCAAAUCCCAUAAACCGUGGCUCAGUUCAGAUCGUAGGCUGCAACUCGCCUACGUGAAGGCGGAAUCGCUAGUAAUCG
rnacentral:rRNA from 1 species